rnacentral:tRNA from 1 species
GACUCUAUGGCCAAAUGGACAAGGCGCUGGCCUACGAAAGCAGAGAUUCUAGGUUCGAUCCCCACCGGAGUCA